rnacentral:misc_RNA from 1 species
CGCACAUUGCGCUCUCUGGUAUUCCGGAGAGCAUGCCCGUUUCAGAAUCAGUAAAUCAUCCUCAGUCUUCUUUCUUUGAGUAUCUUUUUCCUCGGAGUUUGCAGGCUGGAUUUUGGACGUGUUGUUUCUCGGUCCCGUGCAAGCGGGUCCCGGAGACUCGUCUCAAACAGAUGGGAGAUGCUGGGGUUACCGUUCAACGGACCUUGCAAAGCAGCAACAGUGGCCUUUGUUGGUUCUUGUUCACUCUUUGCGGAAGGCUUCCGGGUACCUCGUCUUACAAGGCAUUUCCGAAUCGCCCUCGGGCAGCUUCAAAAGAACUUGGUCUGAAAUCGGGCAAGAAAACCCGCUGAACUUAA